CGGUAACAGGUGUGCUUAAACUACAGAGAGAGAGUAAAAAGGCCACAGCCUAUUUGAUUGAUAAAGACUAGUUGAAGUCAAAAGCUGGGACUGGAGAAGCAGCACUGCAUAUCCCGACAACCCUGAGAGCAAACAGGCAUCGGGUUAAUCCAUCUUCAGCAGCAACAGUGGCACACCCGUGGAAAAGUGCGAGACCGUUACGAUUUUCAAUUUUGAUGCAGUUAUUUUUUCAGCAUUGCUCAAUAGUGAAGAUUUUGAUUCACCGCAACAUGAGUGGAGCACUUCAGCAGAAACUCAGCUUUUUUUUUUUUCUUACAUCCCAGCAGAGAGUGCAUUAAUCAUCGCAGUCUCACCCUCCUCAGUGAAGACAGAGAGCAACAGCUGGGAGAGAGGAGCUCGACUUUAAGCAGUACAGACUCCAGGAGGUUCAGCCAUCACUUCUUGUUGUGAAUUCUGACAUCAAUAGUAAUGAAUACCUUGGAGCGUUUCCUGACUGCCUGAGCAUGAAUUGCUAGAACACUGAAAAGGGCUUUUCUUUGUUUGUUUUGUUUUUUGCUUGUGUACCUUUGUGUGCUGGACUUCUGCGCCUUUGUUUGCUUGUGUAACCACGUGCAUCAGCGAGAGCACAUGCAUUUUGUUGGACCAGAUAUGAGUAAUACGCAGAGUAUCACACAGGACUAAAUGACCUGAACUGACAGGAACAAUUAAUCAGAACAUUUGCCGGUGCUCCUGGAUGAGGUUUCAUGCUGAGGUUACACCUGCACAGGCCUCAGUUGCACUGGGAUCGGGAACACAUAUCCAAAAUUAUCUUUAAAUGAUCUAUGGCUGCCUAGAGCAUAUUUAUCUCAAGUGGAGAAAUGUGCGUUUGCAUGGCUUUUAGGGUUUUGUUAUAAAACACAUAUUGUCUCUGGGGAAACCUGCUAAAAUUCCCUUCAUUUAUUUGUGUAAAUUGCCAUAGCUAUCUCCAUAACAAAAUGUGUGCUUUGCUGUGUGUAAUUUUCUGAUAAGACAGGAAAUUAAUGAAAAGAAACUUAGGUUAAUUUCAUUAAUAACCUGCCAUAACUGAUUUGUACCACUAGGAGGCAGAUGAAACAAGCUAAAAAAGAUACUCAGACAUCUUGAAGGCAACAACUUUAAAAUCUAAAAUAUUGCUUCUUAUUUUUAUGUUUUUCCUGUAAAUUGAUAAAAAUGGAUUUGAGCUGACAUGAUAGCAACCAGCUGUAUAAAAUAUAACUAAAUAAACUCAACAGAUCUUCUCUAUGAAGUCUGAGACCGAAUUUGUAGAAAGAUAGCUUAAAAGAAUAAUCAAUUAUUAACCAACUACAUGGUUAGCAAACUUUAAAAAAGAAAACUUCAACUAAUUUAUGAAUUUGAAGUUAAUCUAAUACUUUCCAUCCUUUUCUUGGCAGUUGUCCAUUAAGCAACUUCUUCUCUACAAUUGUCUGCUCCCAUGCUGCUCUGAGAAUUUAGUUGUCACUAGUCAAAGCAAAUCUAAUUAAUCCUAGAGUCGAAGCCUCAGUCCUCUCAGAUCUGCUGCUCUUUUUUCCAAUUUUCCUUCAGCACUGAAGCCACCUAGUCAGAGGAAAAGCCUCACUUUUUCUACACUUACACACAAAGACAGGAGCUCUUUACUCGCAGUUCUAUGUAGGACAAGUAACCAGCUGUCUUUGGUAAUAAAUGAGUAAGAUGAA